UACGUAGGGGGCAAGCGUUGUCCGGAAUCAUUGGGCGUAAAGCGCGUGUAGGCGGCCUUGUAAGUCCGCUGUGAAAGUCGAGGGCUCAACCCUCGAAUGCCGGUGGAUACUGUCGGGCUUGAGUACGGGAGAGGCGAGUGGAAUUCCUGGUGUAGCGGUGAAAUGCGCAGAUAUCAGGAGGAACACCGAUUGCGAAGGCAGCUCGCUGGAACGUUACUGACGCUGAGACGCGAAAGCGUGGGGAGCAAACAGG
rnacentral:rRNA from 1 species